rnacentral:rRNA from 1 species
CCUACGGGGGGCAGCAGUGGGGGAUAUUGCACAAUGGGCGAAAGCCUGAUGCAGCGACGCCGCGUGAAGGAAGAAGUAUUUCGGUAUGUAAACUUCUAUCAGCAGGGAAGAAAAUGACGGUACCUGACUAAGAAGCCCCGGCUAAAUACGUGCCAGCAGCCGCGGUAAUACGUAUGGGGCAAGCGUUAUCCGGAUUUACUGGGCGUAAAGGGAGCGUAGGCGGCAGGGCAAGUCAGAUGUGAAAGACCGAGGCUCAACUGCGGGGUUGCAUUUGAAACUGUCCGGCUAGAGUGUCGGAGAGGUAAGCGGAAUUCCUAGUGUAGGGGUGAAAUGCGUAGAUAUUAGGAGGAACAUCGGUGGCGAAGGCGGCUUACUGGACGAUAACUGACGCUGAGGCUCGAAAGCGUGGGGAGCAAACAGGAUUAGAUACCCCAGUAGUC